rnacentral:rRNA from 1 species
AUGGGGGAAACCCUGAUCCAGCCAUCCCGCGUGUAUGAUGAAGGCCUUCGGGUUGUAAAGUACUUUUGGCAGAGAAGAAAAGGUACCUCCUAAUACGAGGUACUGCUGACGGUAUCUGCAGAAUAAGCACCGGCUAACUACGUGCCAGCAGCCGCGGUAAUACGUAGGGUGCAAGCGUUAAUCGGAAUUACUGGGCGUAAAGCGUGUGUAGGCGGUUCGGAAAGAAAGAUGUGAAAUCCCAGGGCUCAACCUUGGAACUGCAUUUUUAACUGCCGAGCUAGAGUAUGUCAGAGGGGGGUAGAAUUCCACGUGUAGCAGUGAAAUGCGUAGAUAUGUGGAGGAAUACCGAUGGCGAAGGCAGCCCCCUGGGAUAAUACUGACGCUCAGACACGAAAGCGUGGGGAGCAAACAGGAUUAGAUACCCUGGUAGUCCACGCCCUAAACGAUGUCAACUAGCUGUUGGGGCCGUUAGGCCUUAGUAGCGCAGCUAACGCGUGAAGUNGACCGCCUGGGGAGUACAGUCGCAAGAUGANNACUCAAAGGA